UUUCCGUAGGUGAACCUGCGGAAGGAUCAUUCUCGACGAAUUUGCAGUUUAAUAAGGUACAGCCAAUGAGCUUUGACACCACGAGCACUUUCUUCGUUUCGUGCACUUUUUUAACUAUAUUUUUAUGUUGACCCUAAUUUGAAACUAAAACACCAAGUCCUAAUACCAAAACUCGUGGCGGUGGAUGUCUUGGCUCUGAUAACGAUGAAGAACGCAGCGAAAUGCGAUACGUAAUGCGAAUUGCAGAACCCGUGAAUCAUCGAAUUUUUGAACGCAAGUGGCGCUCGUGGGCAAUCCUGCGAGCAUGUCUGUUUGAGUGUCCGCUAUGGAAAACAAUUUGUUCCCUUUGAACGGCUGGAAACGGUGUGUUUGGGGAGCUGCUGGUGGGCGCACGCAAGUGUUAAAGUCCGGGGGGGGAGGCAAGCCUUUUUUGGGUUUGCGCCAACCGCGGUCGCCUGAAGAGCAGAGUGUCGAGUUGGGGCCCGGGACCACGUGUCGUGCGAGGUCGUUCUCCUUCGGGAGAGUYUGGGAUUCUGAGCUCCGUUGUGAAGUAAGUAAAAUUGCGACAAUGGCGGUGUUUCAGGGUUUUGGGUCUGGAAACAGGCGACGAGGCAUUGAACCUGGAAAGGGCGGCUGGCUUGGUCUUGAAAAGAACACAAAACACAUAGGAUCUCAAAUCAGACAAGACGACCCGCUGAAUUUAAG
rnacentral:rRNA from 1 species